rnacentral:tRNA from 1 species
GCCCGGGUGGCCGAGCGGUUCUAGGCGCGUCAGUCUAGAAAGCUGCGGUCGCAGGUUCGAAUCCUGCCUCGGGCA